rnacentral:rRNA from 1 species
UGGGGAAUUUUGCACAAUGGGGGAAACCCUGAUGCAGCGACGCCGCGUGAUUUAGAAGGCCUUCGGGUUGUAAAAAUCUUUUGUAUGGGAAGAAAAUGACAGUACCAUACGAAUAAGGACCGGCUAAUUACGUGCCAGCAGCCGCGGUAAUACGUAAGGUCCGAGCGUUGUCCGGAAUCAUUGGGCGUAAAGGGUACGUAGGCGGAUAAGCAAGUUAGAAGUGAAAUCCUAUAGCUCAACUAUAGUAAGCUUUUAAAACUGCUCAUCUUGAGGUAUGGAAGGGAAAGUGGAAUUCCUAGUGUAGCGGUGAAAUGCGCAGAUAUUAGGAGGAAUACCGGUGGCGAAGGCGACUUUCUGGCCAUAAACUGAUGCUGAGGUACGAAAGCGUGGGUAGCAAACAGG